UUCUUCAAAAAAAGAAAAAUCAAAGAAAGAUCAAAAAAAAGAAAAAGUAAAAAUUAAAAAAGAAGAAGAAGUAAAACCUCCCAAGCCUUCUUCUUCUUCUUCUUCUUCUAGUCCCAUCUUUGGUAUAUGUCUCCAACGUGACAUGUGUUUAGAAUCAUGAGAACGACGAGGAGGAUGUAAAAUGGCAUCACGUACUCGAUCGGCAUAUUGACGAAGUACCAUGAUGGCAAAACAUGAACCUAGACAAUCAUCACUUUUCUCUUUUUUAUUAUCAUUAUUCUCAUUA
rnacentral:RNase_P_RNA from 14 species